GACGAACGCUGGCGGCGUGCUUAACACAUGCAAGUCGAACGGAAAGGCCUGCUUUCCCUUGUGGAUUGCGGGUACUCGAGUGGCGAACGGGUGAGUAACACGUGAGUGAUCUGCCCCCAACUUGGGUAUAAGCCUGGGAAACUGGGUCUAAUUCCCGAUAGGACUGCAGGGUGGUGCCUGUGGUGGAAAACGAUUUUCUAGUGGUUGGGGAUGAGCUCGCGGCCUAUCAGCUUGUUGGUGGGGUAAUGGCCUACCAAGGCGGCGACGGGUAGCCGGCCUGAGAGGGUGGACGGCCACAUUGGGAAUGAGAUACGGCCCAGACUCCUACGGGAGGCAGCAGUGGGGAAUAUUGCACAAUGGGCGGAAGCCUGAUGCAGCGACGCCGCGUGGGGGAUGACGGCCUUCGGGUUGUAAACUCCUUCCGACCGCGAGGAAGCCACCUGGUUGGAAGGGUGGUGACGGUAGUGGUAGAAGAAGCACCGGCUAACUACGUG
rnacentral:rRNA from 1 species